CGCGUAGGCGGACGUCUAAGUCAGGGGUGAAAUCCCGAGGCUCAACCUCGGAAUUGCCUUUGAUACUGGAUGUCUCGAGACCGGAAGAGGUGAGUGGAACUGCGAGUGUAGAGGUGAAAUUCGUAGAUAUUCGCAAGAACACCAGUGGCGAAGGCGGCUCACUGGUCCGGUUCUGACGCUGAGGCGCGAAAGCGUGGGGAGCAAACA
rnacentral:rRNA from 1 species